GAUGAACGCUGGCGGCGUGCUUAACACAUGCAAGUCGAACGAGCCUUCGGGCUAGUGGCGGACGGGUGAGUAACGCGUGGGAAUCUGCCCUCAGGAGGGGGAUAACGGCCGGAAACGGCCGCUAAUACCCCAUAUGCCGAGAGGUGAAACGAAUUUCGCCUGGGGAUGAGCCCGCGUCUGAUUAGCUAGUUGGUGAGGUAAUGGCUCACCAAGGCUUCGAUCAGUAGCUGGUCUGAGAGGAUGAUCAGCCACACUGGGACUGAGACACGGCCCAGACUCCUACGGGAGGCAGCAGUGGGGAAUUUUCCGCAAUGGGCGCAAGCCUGACGGAGCAACGCCGCGUGAGGGACGAAGGCCUCUGGGCUGUAAACCUCUUUUCUCAAGGAAGAAGACAUGACGGUACUUGAGGAAUAAGCCACGGCUAAUUCCGUGCCAGCAGCCGCGGUAAUACGGGAGUGGCAAGCGUUAUCCGGAAUUAUUGGGCGUAAAGCGUCCGCAGGCGGCCUUGAAAGUCUGUUGUUAAAGCGUGGAGCUCAACUCCAUUUAAGCAAUGGAAACUACAAGGCUAGAGUGUGGUAGGGGCAGAGGGAAUUCCCGGUGUAGCGGUGAAAUGCGUAGAUAUCGGGAAGAACACCAGUGGCGAAGGCGCUCUGCUGGGCCAUAACUGACGCUCAUGGACGAAAGCCAGGGGAGCGAAAGGGAUUAGAUACCCCUGUAGUCCUGGCCGUAAACGAUGAACACUAGGUGUCGGGAGAAUUAACCCUUCCGGUGUCGUAGCCAACGCGUUAAGUGUUCCGCCUGGGGAGUACGCACGCAAGUGUGAAACUCAAAGGAAUUGACGGGGGCCCGCACAAGCGGUGGAGUAUGUGGUUUAAUUCGAUGCAACGCGAAGAACCUUACCAGGGUUUGACAUCCUGCGAAUCCCUUGGAAACGAGGGAGUGCCUUCGGGAACGCAGUGACAGGUGGUGCAUGGCUGUCGUCAGCUCGUGUCGUGAGAUGUUGGGUUAAGUCCCGCAACGAGCGCAACCCACGUCUUUAGUUGCCAGCAUUCAGUUGGGCACUCUAGAGAGACCGCCGGUGAUAAACCGGAGGAAGGUGUGGAUGACGUCAAGUCAUCAUGCCCCUUACAUCCUGGGCUACACACGUACUACAAUGCUACGGACAAAGGGCAGCAAACUCGCGAGAGCUAGCAAAUCCCAUAAACCGUGGCUCAGUUCAGAUCGUAGGCUGCAACUCGCCUACGUGAAGGAGGAAUCGCUAGUAAUCGCAGGUCAGCAUACUGCGGUGAAUACGUUCCCGGGCCUUGUACACACCGCCCGUCACACCAUGGAAGUUGGCCAUGCCCGAAGUCGUUACUCCAACCCGCAAGGGAGGAGGACGCCGAAGGUGGGGCUGAUGACUGGGGUGAAGUCGUAACAAGGUAGCCGUACCGGAAGGUGCGGCUGGAUCACCUCCU
rnacentral:rRNA from 5 species